rnacentral:rRNA from 1 species
UACAGAGGGUGCGAGCGUUGUCCGGAAUCACUGGGCGUAAAGGGCGCGUAGGUGGCGCUCCAAGUCUGUGGUGAAAGCUCGACGCUCAACGUCGAGUCGGCCAUAGAGACUGGAGGGCUCGAGCACUGUAGGGGCAGAUGGAAUUCCGGGUGUAGCGGUGGAAUGCGUAGAGAUCCGGAAGAACACCGGUGGCGAAGGCGGUCUGCUGGGCAGUUGCUGACACUGGAGGCGCGACAGCGUGGGGAGCAAACAGG